AUUUGGUAAAAGUACAUUUAUUCUUCAGAAGCACGUCCAGAUAUGGAUGAUACUAAAUGCAUGGUCCAUGAAGCCCAUUCUGGAACUAGACUGGAGGUGGGUAGAGUUGGAUAACCUUCUUCCACGAUGGUCUACUGCUUAUGUCAUCCCACCAACCACUCACAUGCUUCCUCUCUUUUAUCAGAUACCCUUUAUUCAUUUGGUUCACUAUAAAAUAUGUAAAUGGAAGAUGACUUAUAUCAGCAAGACUGAAGAAAUCCCCACCCAAAUACUUGCUCUUUGACAGCCUCUCCUCAUAAACAUCCAACACCUUCAACAGCUUUGCUUCACUCUCUUCAAUCACCUUUGGAUCUGGAGUCAUGCCAAAUAAUGGAGCAAACAACAGAUGCACAGCCAAGUCAUAAGCUGGUGGGUGAAAGUUAUGUGCUUCAACUUCUAGCCAUUGUUCCACAACACCCCUCUCUUCCGGUGUCCUCCCCAACAGCUCAACCCCCUGAGAUCUGUAUUUGUCUGCAUAAUACCUCAUUAUAGCACGAGAUUCUGCAGAAACAGAUCAAACACAGACAAGUUACAAGGUGGUAUAGCAGUAAGAUAAGAAAAAAUAACUGAAGAAACAAAAUAUGAACAAAAAAGCAAAAGUAUAUAGGAGUUGAAAGUGUAACCAUAUAAGGUGUAGUCUCCAUCUUGGAUGACAGGAACAACUCCAAAGGGCUGCAGAUAUGAUGAAUAAAGAAAAUGAAUGAGAAGAUAAAGAAAGACGUAAUCUUGAAGAGUGAUGAGGGUGGGCAAAAAAAGAAAAUUGAACCUGUAACUUGAGAAACUCGGGAUCCUUGUGCUCUCCCUUAGUGAGAUCGACUGGGACAACCUCAAAUUCGACGUCCUUCUCAAGGAGACAUACUAGCACCCGUUUAGUGGAAGCACAGUGAGGACCGUACACCUUCACUACCAUGUUUUGAUUCUCUUCAGAAACCCUUCAACAAGACUGAAGCAGUGAUAGAGCCAAACACAAUUUCUACUUCCUGGUAACACUUCUUAUAGUGCCCCUACGCGUGAAAUCAAGCGCAUGUUUUCACACUGUAGUUGUAAAUGGAUUUGGAAUGGGUAGGAUAGAAUCAAACUCUUUUACUUAAUAUAAUAAAAGAUUUGUGUGGAAUUAGAUAGAAGUUUCGAGUGGUUGGUCCUUUGGGAAAAGAGGAAAAAGAAGAUGUGAAUAUAAAUAUUACAACUACCAAACAUGAUGGGCAAUGAUUUAGAAAGUAAAGAUGAGGGGGUGGAUAUUAUUGUGGUCGACAAAUAAUCAAUGUGCUACCUUUAAUUGUACAGAAUUCGGAUUACUGUGUAUAAAAGUAUAACAUUUAUAUUGAUGUCUAUUAAAGUUAAAUUUAUAGUAUUAUUUUUUUAUUGAAAGUUAAGAAAGAGAUAAAUAUUUUAGAACGUGUUUCCCACCAAAAAAAUAAAUAAAUAUGAAGUAGAAAUUAAAGAUGUUUAAUUAAAAGUUGAGGUAUUAUUUAUAAAUAAACAAUGAAAUAAAAAAUUAAAUAGUUUAAUAAUUAUUGACAUAUUUUAUUUUUAUUGCAAUACAAACAUUUUAAUUAUGUUAAUUUCAUUUGAGUUCUAUUAAUAUUUAACACAAUUAAACAAGUAUUUCGUCUUUAAUAAGUUGUCACGUGUGUUUGUGUUUAUUGGAGAAGAAAAAUAAUAACUUUAACCUGUAAUUAACUUUAACCUAUAUUUUCUAUUUUAUACAUUAAAAAUUCUUUGUGAUUCUUUUAAAAUUUUUGAAUAAACAUACGUGAUAGUUACAAAUACAAAAGUAUUUAAUUGUAUUAAAUAAUAGAAUCCAACAAAAUGUAAGUUUUUUUUAUUAAAAUAAAAAACUUAUUGUAUUGAAAUAACUAUUUAUCCAAAUAAAAAUAAUAUUGUCUUUUGAAAUAAGUGACUCCCAACCAAAAAAUCCAACUUGUUUUAUUUAUUAAGAAUUAUUGUUUUCUCAUGAUUCAAGUAAAGCAUUAGUUAAAAUUUAGAAAAUAUUUCUUAAAAUGGUCUAGCAAUAAAAUUGAAUAAAAAAAAAGUGUCAUUUUCGCUUCUUAAGAACAUAAGAUGGCAAAUAAUUGGAAGUUCUAACAAUUAUAUCCCAUAUUUCAUAAUUCAAGUAAAGCCUUAGUAAAAAUUUGGAAAAUAUUAAAAAUGUCUAAGAUUGAAAAUAAAAUAAAUAAAUAAAAAAGUGCUCUUUUCGCUUCCUUGGAAAGUUGUAAGAAUUAUAUCCUCAUAUUUUUUCCUUUUUUCUUCUAAGGACCAACUCAUCAACACCUACUUAUUAUUAUUAUUGUUAUCUAGUCAAAAUAACCAUCAAUUAUGAUAAAAGUACUCAUAACACUAAGACCUACUAAACCUCGCGACUGGUCGAAUUGAUAUUUUCAAUUAAUUAACCUAUUUUUAAAUUAAAUAUUUAAAUAAAAAUAUUUUAAUAGAUUAAUUUUCUAUAUUAUAUUAUUCGAAAGAUGUAGAUAUGAAAUAGUAUUGUAACUUAAAUCAAUAAUAAUUGCAAAUUAAGUUUCAGUUAAUUAUAAAAAUAAUUUAAUACAUAAAUGCAAUGGUUAAACUAUAAGAAAAGUUGUUUUUGGAAACUAAAUUUUUGAGUUUCUAAAAUGAUAAAAUUAGUCAAUAACUUAAUUAGAAACUAAUUUAAAAUCUAAUUGUAGUAAGUGGCUAAAAUCAUCUUCGUUAAUUUUAUAUACCAAUUUAGAUUCUAAUUUAGAAACCAAUUUAGUUAUCAAUAAAAACCAACUUAGUGACCAAAUAUAUAGAAACUAAUUUAGUAAUCAAUUAUAUAGAAAUCAAAUUAACAACCAAUUUUAUUGAAACCAAUUUAGUGACCAAAAUAUAUAGAAACUCAUUUAGUGACCAAAUAUAUAAAUAUAAAAAAAUGGUCACUAUAAUGGUCUCCAAAUAAUAUAAUUUUUUGUAAAAAAAAAAAAUUUAUCAAAUGGAAAAAUCAAUUCAUUUGAAAUAUUUUAAGAUAUUCUCUUGUGUCUAAAACUAGUUUCAAUAUAAGUAUGCACAUGAAGGAAAUUAAAUCAUUAGAAGGAACAAUCCAAUUUAGCUUAAUCUUUCUUUGUCGAGCCUUAUUUAAAUUAUUUUUCAUUAUUAUAGCAUCUCGCAUUUCAAAAUUAUUUCUUGCCCACUUAUGAUCUGGUGCACAAAUCGAAAACUUCUUCUGCAUUAAUAAAAAAACAAAGUUAAUUAUAUGUAAAACUAACAUACAUAAUAAAAUUGAACUAAAUAAUUAAAUAAAGUUAGUUAUAUGAAAUCAACCAAAAACUCUCCGAACUACAAGUCUCUUGUUCUAAACACCAAAUAAGAUGCAUCUUUUAAAAAAGCAAACAAAAACCAAAUAGUUUUUUAUGACUAGUCGCUCGGAAGAGAAAAAUUAAUCAAGAAAUAUUGACCUUAUAAUUAUGGAUUGAUUCACUUCAUCUGCAAACAAAGCAAUAGACAGAUUAAAAAGUUAUAGUACAAAACGAAUGGAAACAGCUUAACCUUUUAAAACUUAAUUUCUAUAAAAAAUAAGGAAAAAGUUGUCUCGUAUCAUUUCUCGAAUGGCUGUCAGUAAUUGCAUAUAAAUGAGGGCUUUCACUUGCCUUACACUUGUAGGCUUCAAUAUAGUCAUUUUAUCAUACUAGAGAGUUUACUAUCAUUCGUGGGACUCCAUUAAACUUGACUUUCGACUCGUAAACUCGUAAGAGUCUACUUCAUAAAAAAAAUUUAACAAAAAAAUAAUUCAUGAAAACAAAUCCAUAAUAUUGAAAUAAACAAGUUCAUACACUAAUAAAAUAACUAAAACAACACAAAUGUUAUAAUUUAAAAGUCUCAUUCUUCUAAUUCUUCAAGAAAAUCAUCUAACUCUAAAACAAACAAUCAAUUAGUCAUUCUGCUUUAAAAUUAAACAAAAAUCCAAUAUGUCCAAAGCAGUAAAAGAACUUCAGGAUGUCCAAAAAUCUGCCCCAACCCAAUGAACAAAAACGCCCCAACCCAUUUUUAAAAGUUCAAACCUAAUUUUGAAAACCCUAACCCAAUCCGUCCUCACCGCAGCAGCAGGACUUACCCAUCAAAGUGUUUCGCGAACGGCGUAGUGUGACGAGGAUCAUUGUGAAACGAGGUGUGACAACCAGCGGCGCGAUGCGACGAGCGGUGCGGUACGAGGAGCAGUGUGGGGUUGUGCGAGGCGAGGAGCGACGCGGUACGAGGCAAGGAGCGGCGCGGUACGAGGCGAGGAGCGGUGCGGUGUGAUGAGCGGUAAAACCCUAAAAAAUCUAACCUAAUCACAAGGAAACACAUCGUUUUGAGUCCAUUUUACGCAACUCGAUAACUCGACCUUAAACUCACGAGUUUAGCCGAGUUUGACCGAGUCAACUUCGGAUUCGGGUUUACUCAAAAACGAGUUUACUCCCGAGUUGACUCGCCAACCUUCACCUGACUCUUAAACUCAAACUCGUAAGGGUUUACGAGUUAACCUUAGAGUUUGAUAAUUUGAUUAUUACCAUACAAAGUAACUUUCUUAAAAGGGAUUUAUGGCAACCAAAACAGGCCCAGCUUUCAUCUGAAUUAAAUAGUUAUGCACUUAAAGAGGUUAUGAUUAGGAAAAUAAAUCAAGAUAGAAAAUUAAGAGAUAUAAGCUUACAUAGAUCAUAUCUUGGUUGUAUCUAUAUUGCAGGUUGAAUAAAACUGCUGAUUCAUUUAAAUAACUAAAUAGAAGGUACCAUGAUAAACUGAUUUCAAAACACAGCAGCAGAGAAAAAUUGAAAUCCAAGGCCAAAAUUAUCUUUUUUGAACCAUAAGAAUUUGUAUCAUUCCACCUGUUUUCCCUAGAGGAUGUCAAAAUUGAUGGCAGGGGCAACGUAACGGAUACCAAGUCUUCAUCUGCAUUAGAUGGUCGGUCUUUUAAUGAUCAACCAAUUUAUUUUAAAUUCUAAGUGUACUUUCUUUUUGGUUUGAGGUUUAAACUAAAAAAAUAAAAACUUUGAAAUGUACUGAUGAAAAAUGCCACAAUAUUUACAAUACAAUAAUAUGAAACUAAUCUAAUCAUUUUAAUAUUAUCACUAAUUUAUAAAAGUAAAAAUUUAUGUUGGACUCCCACAACUUUUGUAACAUGGAUCAAGCAUCAUGAACCAGGUGCACACGAAAUAACUCAGUUCUAGAAGGAUUAUAAAGCCCUUAACCAAGAGAGGCUAGAAAGAUUAAAAAGAUACACCUCAUUGAGGAAAGAAGUGUUCACAACAAAGAGGAAAAAAAAGCAAUUUGUCAAAUACUUUAACAACCCAAGAUUAAUUUUCAGAGUAAACAAAAUUUUGGUUUAACUACAAUAUUAGUGUCAUUAACAAAGUGCACAAGAAAUUACAUACCUCACUGAGUACUAACACUACAAAGAGAAGAAAGCACAGUAAAUAAAAUUAUAAAGUUAGCCCUUCCACUCUACAGGUUCCAUGCAUUUGGUUUUGCAGAGGCAAGCAGAGGUAUUGAUCCCAAUCCCACAUAUUUGGAUUCUAGUUUCUACUAAUUAAAGCAUGCCUUGUCUGACAAAAAGUCUUUCCAAAGUUCCAAAAGCAUUUGUCUCAAUAAAGGGAAAACAACUAAACUAGUUGUAGGUGCGUACUAAACCUUUUGAUGCUCCAAAUACCAUUAUAUUAUACUACACAAAUCACAAUAUCUCCAAGUUCUAAAUAAAUAAAUAAAAACCACAUUAACAAUACCAUUGAAAUGUAAUCAGAUACACAAAAAUCUACACAAUUAGGUAGUUAGCACGAUGUCAAAGUUUCAAUAAACUUUGAAUUUUUGUUUGAGCUUGCAAGCCUAAGGCCUAACUAAACCAACAACACUGACCAUAUACCGUGCAUAAAGAUAUUCACAAGUUAAUGAAACUUGAUCAAACUAGACAAAUAAAACGAAGACCUCAAAUUAAUAUCCCCAUAUUAAUUAUGCAGUUGCUUAUUAUUUUACUAGAAUUACCUUCAAAACUAACAGCCACACAACUUACAACAGAGUACCUUUUAUGUGUAAUAAUCUAGGAUUUUAAGAUGGGAAGAUACAUUGAGUAAAGUUGUGAAGUUUCGAUGAGCAAACACAAAAAUAAAAGACAAAGAGCGAGAAUGAAACACGAAUUGAAACUUACUAUGAUAAGCUUAAAGAGGUUAGUCUCAUUCGAAACAGAGAAACGUCAUUGUUGCGGGUGCGUUACCGUCUCAAGGUGCGUUGUCGUUGUAGGGUGUGGUUUCCGGUUGUUGAGUGCUAAGAGUGAGAGAUGAGAAAAAAAGUUAAAGAAAACAGAUAAACUUUGAAAUUCAAAACCUUACAUACCAAUUGGUUAAAUUUAAAAAAAUUAAAUAAUUUUUUGAAAAAUAUGCAUCUUUAUUUAAAUUUAUUUAUUAAAAUUUUAAUUUAAAUAAUAUUUUGAAUUAAUCAUUAAUUUAAUUUUAUAUUUAAAUAAAAUUAAAAGAUUAAAAUACUAUUUUAAAUGUAAUUUUUAAAUUUAUAUUAAUUAUUUUAAUAUUAUACUAAAAUUAUUAAAUUAUUAAAUUUAUUCAUAUCAAUUUAAAAUAUUUUAUAAAUUAAUAAUUAAUUUUAUAAAAUUUAAUUACUUCAAAAUUAAUAUUUAAAUUCAAAUAAUAGUGACUAGAAAUUUAAGUAUCUCAUUAUAAUUAUAUAAUGAUUAGAAACUACAAAAUUAGUUUUAAAUUUUAUUAUUUUUAGUGACUAAAAUUAGUUUUUAAAAUAGAUUAAAAUUAAUUAAAAUAGUUUCCAAUUAUAUCUUAACAAGAUUCUCUCUCUCUCUAUCUCUCUAUCUCUAUCUCUCUCUCUCUAAUAAAUUGAAACAUAGAUGAAUAGAAUCUUACACGGACUACUUCUUAUGCGGGACAGGAUGGUCAAAUGAACUUGCAUUUCUUAUAUAGGUUGGACCAACCUGACCUGCGUUUUGCGAGUCAAACAUGGGAGGGACCAACCGACAUUGCCACCUAAUUUGACAUGAAAUAUUUGUUUUGCCCUUAAUGAUUUAAAAGACUUUGUCUUCUGGAUUUUCAUAUACGUAAGUUAAAUUACAAAGUUCUGGAUAUGCAAGUUCGAAACUAAUAUGUCACUUUCGGAUUUAGUCAUCCAGAAGCUUACCUGACCAACAUAAAUGACCUUCUGGAUGCCAUGAUCCAUAAGCAAACAUAAAUGAACUCGAGAUUCUAAUAUUUAACAUCAUUUAUAGCACACCAUUUCGAACAUAAAAAUCUGAAACUCAUAACUCACUUCCGGAUAUGAUCAUCCAAAAACUUAAAUGAAAUAUAAAAAUGAUCUUCUGAAUAUCGAAGUCCGGAGUAUAUAACAACCACAUUCAAAUUUUUGCAUCUAUAACUAAAUAUGAAGCCUUCCGAAUAUCACGAUUCGGUAACAACUUAACCCCAUUAUCAACUAAAACACAAAACGUAAAUAAUUUUCCUUACCUCAUAAAAGAUUUACACCACACCACGCUUAAAAGUAAUGACUUCAUUCCACCACCACACCAACCCAAUUCACCACCACUCAAAACGGUUCAGCAUUUAAAUCACAAAGCUUCACUUUUUUCUGUGAUGAACUAUGAUGGGAGCAACAGCAUUAAAACUGCAGAAGCAAUGCAUAGCUAUUUAAAGUCUGAAACCCCUACUUUCCAAUUUAUUUCAGUUCUUACUCUUUUAAAAUUUCUCUAAUCAAAUUUCAAAUAGUGCUUUUACCAUGCUCUUUGAAAUAUACAAAUAGUUUAUACAAUUAUACUAUUCAUUCCACUGGCUGCCUCAGAAAAGAAAUUGCACUGCUACAUAAAUAAUUACUUUAUGCCACUCAUUCCUAAAGCUAACUAUGACAGACAAAAUAUGCAAAAAGGAGUUACUUUCAUCUAUCAAAGUUGUGUGCUAUUAUUUUAUUUGACUAUUGAAAAUCUCACCUGUGAUGGUCUCUUUCUCACCCUCUAAUCUAUCAAAAAUCCAUUUAAUGGAGCCUAAUUUAGAAGAUUAAGUGCUUAUGUAGCCUAUUAAAUGCCUCUUAAGCAUCCACACGGCAAAGCUACCUAAGCAGUAAAGCACAUUAGCAGAAAGGCUACUUUAGUGACGUACAGAUUUUUGAAGGACUUGGGUAAUGAUAGUAAGUAUUUUUAGGAUUGAAGCAAAGUCAAAUUAAUAUUUUUUAGGUACCAAAGUGAUAACAUGUGGGUUUUGGCUUGAAUGUUUAUGGGCAAAAGUGAUUCAUUGUGGUACAUGGUGAUGAAAGUGAUGGCUAUGGCUUGGACCCGACCCGCUCUAGUCAAGUUCCAUUUUUUUUCAGUCAAGUCCGUUAGUAGAACCAGUGUAAAGCACUAUGUUCAAUUUAUUGGAACCCAUCAAAUAUAAAUUCUUGUGUGAUUGCCAUGCUCAGAGACCUUCAAACAACAUUACAGAAGAAACAAGAAAAACUAGCAAGCCUAGACAAAAGGAUUGAGGUUAAAAUUAAUGCAAGCAAUCAAAUACCUUCGUUCACAUCUCCGUUCGCCUUUGCUCGCACCUUCGUUCUCCUUCGCUCGCACCUCCGUUCGCCUCCGCUCACACCUCUGUUCGCCUUUGUUCGUACUUCCGUUCGCACCACGACCACCACCCACAACUUCCUCCUCCUCCUCCGACCACCGCCUGCAGCUUCCUCUGCACCUUUGUUCACACCACGUCCAUUUUUGGGUAUUUGGUGUCCUAAAAGCACCUACAACUUCCAAAUAACUCUGAAGCUUACAAAAAAUCAAAUUCCAAGUUUUAUCUAAUUGUCACAUUCUUUUUUUACUGAAGUCACCUCUUUAUAAAUAAUAUUAAAAAAUAUAGUAUUUAUGUAAAAUUAAGAAAUAAAUAUUAAAGGAGUAUUUAAAUAUCAAUGAUAAUAAAUAUAAAUAUUUUAAUUAAUUAAUAAUUUUCAUACUAAUACAUUUUAUAAUUUCUAACUAGCAGAUACUUACCUCUAUUAAUAAUUUUUAAUUGAAAAAAAUAGAAACAAGUAAUAAAACUGUUAUAAUAAAAAAAUUAAUAAUUAAAAAAUUAUUUACAAUUUAAUUCUGAAAAUUUAUUUAUUUUUAUAAAAUUAAAGUUGUUUUAAAAAGAUCAUUUUAUUUAAAUUUAAUUAUUUAGCAUAAUUUAUUUUUUUUAAAGGAUUAAUUUUAUUAACAAUAAUUAUUUUUUUUAUGUAAUUUUAUUUAAAAAAAUUAUUUGAGGUGAUAUUUUAAAAAAAUAUUUAAUAAAUUUUAUCUAAAUUUAAUAAAUUACAAAUAUAUUUGACACAUAUUUUUUAAAUAAAAAAAAUCAGUAAUACAAUUAAUUAUUUUUUAAAUGGAUGAGUACUCAUUAAUAUUCAAAGUGCUUGUAUAGUUUUUUAAAAUAAAAAUAAAUUAUUAUUAUCAUUAAUAGUAGUUGUAAAAUAAACAAGAUUUAGCGACUAAAAAAUUUCGAUGGCUAAAAAAUAAACGUGUUUAGUGGCUGAUUCAGUGAUAAAAAUAAAUAAUUAUAUCUAGUGACCGAAACAAAAUCGGUAGCUAAAACAUAAACAAAUUUGAUGGCUGGUUCGGUAGUAAAAAUAAACAUUUAUAUUCAGCGACCAAAAGAAAAUCGGUAGCUAAAAAGUAAAUAUAUUCAGUGCCUAAUUUGGUGGCAGAAAAAAAAUAAUAAAAUUUAGUGACCAAAAUAAAAUUGGUGGCUAAAAAAUAAACAUAUUCGGUCGCUAAUUCGGUUGCAAAUAUAUUUUUUCCAAUUUAUUCGAAACAAUCACCACUUUAACGACCAACGGUUUUGUCACUUUCAUGUUCGGUCACGGAUUCAUUCGCAAAACUAACUAACAUGAUUUUUCAUGUUCGGUCGCGAAUUCAUUCGCAAAACUAACUAACAUUAUUUUUUAUGUUCGGUCGCGAAUUCAUUCGCAAAACUAAACUAACUAGCAUGAUUAAUAAUUCAGUUAGUCGCCAUUUCGAAUUCGUUCGCAAAACUAACUAACAUGAUUAAUCAGUCGCUAUUUCGAUCACAAAUUUGUAAGUUAUUUCGAUCGCAAAUUCGACACUAUAUUGUUCGCUAAAUUCAGUAACUACAGUAUAAAAAAAACACUCUUCUCCAAAAAAUAAUUCAAAACAAAGAAGAUAGGACAAUGUCAAGAAUUCUCCAAAAAAUAAUUCAACACAAAGAAGAUAGGACAAUGUCAAGAAGAUAGGACAAUGUUGGACAAUAUCUUAAAUGAUAUGAUGAAGGGAGAAACACCCCUAAUUUUUUAGUAUCAGAUUUAGCGUUUUACUAUUGUUAUUAAGUUUUAUGCAAAAAAAAAUUUAAUCAAAAUAACAUAACUAAAUCUUUCAUAAAUAUUUUACCAUUUAAAAAAAAAAACAAUUUUUUGAAACUGAUGAAGUCAUACAUACUAAAUACAAUUUUAAUACAAUCUGAUAGUACAAAUAUAAUUCUGAAGUUGUAAUGAUUUCAAUACGAUAUAAUAUCACUAUCACUGAAGUUAUAAUGUCAAAAUACAAAUUCAAUUAUAGAAAUCUUUUUAAAAAAAUUGUUUUUAUAUUAUACGAAUUUAAUUAUUUCCUAAUUAAAAUCACAUUUUACAACUAUAAUUUCUUUAGAAAUUAUUAUCUACAUAAAACUCGUAUUUGACACAUACGAGGAUUUAUCCAAUUUUAAAACAAGAAACUAAUCUGUCCAUUUAGAAAAAUUUGGACUAAAAUUACACUAAUUUUUGGAGAAAGAAACCGACUAAGUAUUAUAAAUAAAACUGCCACAUAAAAACAUGACUUAUAGCAUUUUAGGACACCAAUUUAAAGUCUCCAACUGAACAUUAAGUUUCAAACUAUUACACUUUUAUUUAAGUUUAGAAAACAUUUGUUGUCUAAAGACUUUUGGGUUUAUAUUGCAACAUCACUCAUAAUUGGAUAAAAGUACAUUUAUUCUUGAGAAGCAGAAGCAGGUGCAGUGCAGAGAUGGAUGAUACUAAAUGCAUCAUCCAUGAACUUCAUUCUGGAACUAAACUGGAGGUGGGUAGAGUUCAAUAACCUUCUUCCAUGAUGGUCUACUGCUUAUGUCAUCCCACCAACCACUCACAUGCUUCCUCUCUUUUAUCAGAUACCCUUUAUUCAUUUGGUUCACUAUAAAAUAUGUAAAUGGAAGAUGACUUAUAUCAGCAAGACUGAAGAAAUCCCCACCCAAAUACUUGCUCUUUGACAGCCUCUCCUCAUAAACAUCCAACACCUUCAACAGCUUUGCUUCACUCUCCUCAAUCACCUUUGGAUCUGGAGUCAUGCCAAAUAUUGGAGCAAACAACAGAUGCACAGCCAAGUCAUAGGCUGGUGGGUGAAAGUUAUGUGCUUCAACUUCUAGCCAUUGUUCCACAACACCCCUCUCUUCUGCUGUCCUCCCCACCAGCUCAACCCCCUGAGAUCUGUAUUUGUCUGCAUAAAACCUCAUUAUAGCACGAGAUUCUGCAGAAACAGAUCAAACACAGACAACUUAAAAGGUGGUAGCAGUAAGAUAAGAAAAAAUAACUGAAGAAACAAAAUAUGAACAAAAAGGCAAAAGUAUAUAGAAGUUGAAAGUGUAACCAUAUAAGGUGUAGUCUCCAUCUUGGAUGACAGGAACAACUCCAAAGGGCUGCAGAUAUGAUAAAUAAAGAAGAUGAAUGAGAAGAUAAAGAAAGACGUAAUCUUGAAGAGUGAUGAGUCUGAGGAAAAAAAGAAAAUUGAACCUGUAACUUGAGAAACUCGGGAGCCUUGUGCUCUCCCUUAGUGAGAUCAACUGGGACAACCUCAAAUUCGACCUCCUUCUCAAGGAGACAUACCAGCACCCUUUUAGUGGAAGCACAGUGAGGACCGUACACCUUCACUACCAUGUUUUGAUUCUCUUCAGAAACCCUUCAACAAGAGUGAAGUGAAAGAGCCAAACACAAUUUCUACUUCCUAGCAACACUUCUUAUAGUUGUAAAUGGAUUUGGAAUGGAUAGGAUAGAAUCAAACUCUUUACUUACUAAUAGAAGAUUUGGGGUUGCUAGAGUUUGUUUUUUCUAAAUAUACUUUGACAAGUGUAAAAAUUGCUUUAUUUGUGGGUUCAGAUUUCAGAAAAAAAAAAUUUCUUUUCUCAAUUGUAACUUGGUGUAGGACUUUCAAUAUAUCAUCACUUAGUUGAGCAGUGAUAUGUUCACACUUUCUACUGACACACUCUCAUUUAACACUUAAUAAUUUUUCAAAAGUUUACAUUAUAUUUACCAAAACUUAUUGGAUACUCACUUUUAAAAACUCUCAAUCAACACUGCUCUUUUAACAAAUAUAUGAUAAAUGAGUUUGAUGUGGUAAAUGGUACUUUGAUAAACAUGAUGUAAACUUUGAAAAAUUACUUAUUAAUAGCAAAUUGUUUCGUAUAAGAAAAUAUAAUCUUUUAAUAAAAUAAAAUGUGAGUCUAUUUGAAAAGAUAAAGAAAUGUUUAAAUGAUUACAAACAGAUGCAUUUAAUGAUGUGGGCAUCCAAAGUAACAUUUUUUUAUUUUUUAUUAAAUUCAUUUUAACUCUUCCCAGGUCAUGUUAGGUUGAAUCUGUAUUGAUUGGGGUACAGCUGGUUUAAAAAAAAAUAUAGGUGUUGAUGGGGGGAUCUGUUGUGCCGUGUUUGGAGAAACAGGAGAUAAUUUAUUAUAUUUAUUUAUGUAAUUUAAAUGAAAGCAUGUUGUGCAGGGUCAAAAGUUGGCAAUAGAAUAAUAAAGUGAUUCCAGAAAUGGAGGGUGGUGGAAGAAUCACUUCUUAAUUUUUAAUUGAUUCAAGAUCUUCAAUCUCACUGGGGUAAAUCCUUAAUAUAUUUUGCUAUUUUAUUAGAAAAUAAUAUUUAAACUUAAUAAAAUGAAAUUUACAUUUAUUGGGUUGAUAAAGAUUAUGAUGUCCUUUUCCAUUUAGAAGUUCUCUUCCGUCUUGGUUUUGGGAAAAUCACUUACUUGCCGUCUUCAAUAACAAUGGCAGUUUAGCAAUCCAUGAUUACCACUCUUGCUUCCUCUAUUUCAAGAUUUUCCCAUUAUAAUGUUAUUUCAAGAUUUUGUUUCUUAUAUAAAUUAUGGAAAAAAAAAAUAACUAAGCUAUCUCAUUUAAAAAUGAAAUUAUAUUUUUCAUUGGGAAGUUUACUCACAUGUGAAAUAAAUAAAGUUACACUUUUUAAGGAUGGAUAUUCAAAAUAUUUUUUAUUUUAUUUCAUUAAAUUUUUUGAAAAACCAAGAUGUAUUUAUUAUAGGUUAGAAAUGAAAAAAAAUUAUAAGUACAUUGACACUUCUGAUCUGUUAACUUGGAAGAAAUAGAAAUGUAUAGAAUUUUUCAAAGAUUGGAUCAAAGUCCAAAGACUUUUAUUAUUUCUCAAUCACAUCAGCAAACAUCAGAAGAGGUCACCUUACUCACGCACCUGUCACUCUCAAUAGAAACUGACGAAAAGGUACAACCAAAUGUACCCAGACAAGAUCAAAUUCUUCCACCUUCCACCACCUCCAUUCCUUCCGUAUACUGAAAUUAUAACUUCAUCAUUUUUAUUUACACUCCUAUUUCUUGAAUCUGAAAUAUAUAAUACAAUUUUAUAUUCUAAAUUUUAAAAUUUAGAAGAUAUCUUUUGAAUUUGAAAAUAUAUUUUAAACUUUAAAAUUUGAACUUGGAAUAUAAAAUUGUAUUUUGAAUUUUACAAGGUCUAUAUUAUACAAUUUAAAAAUCAAUAAAAAAACAAAACAUAUACCUUUUGUCAAAGCAUAAUUUUGGAAUUAAAAUAUUUAUGAAUAAUUUUGAAAUUAAAAUAUUUAUGGAGGUGUAAGAAGAAACGGAGUGAAAGAAGAAAUUGUCAUUAAAGGGUAGGCAAUUGCUUCCUGCACCCAAUCAAUUUUGACUCGCAUCCAACGAAAAUUUUAAAACUCCAAUCUGUCCUUUUCACACAUUUGUUUACAAAUUUUAAUUUUUGGAAGACAUUUUUAUACAUUCUAGAUUUCGAAAUCCGAAAGGUUAUUUUCAUAUUUCAUUUAAGCUUCUAGAUGAUCAUAUCCAAAAGUGAGUUAUGAGUUCCAAAUUUUCAUAUCUAAAAUGGUAUGCUAUAAAUGGUGUUGAGAACUGAAAUUCGAAACUCAUUUAUGUUUGCUUACAGAUCUUGAGAUCCAGAUCAUUUAUAUUGUUCAAAUAAGUUUUCGGAUGGUGAAAUCCGGAAGUAACAUUAGUUCUACAUUUGUAGAUCCAGAACUUUGUAAUUUAACUUGUGGAUAUAAAUAUUCAGACAAAAAUUUAAAAUCAUUAAAGAUAAAAUGAACAUUUCACGUGAGUCUGAAUUGAUAUGAUACAGGAAGAAUCAGCCUAGAGGGUAUGUGCAGUAAUUGGCCCAACCCAGAAUGGCCUAAAGAAAAACACAAAACGCAACCGGAAGGAAAGAAAACACAACCUGAGAUACGAAUGUACUUCAUUAAAAGCUAAAAAUGUGAAGUAAUAUAAAAAAAAAUGAACAUUGCAAUAAAAUAACUUAUUCAGUCAAUAAAUCUGUGACUUUUUUAAAAAUAUACAGACACCUUAUCGCCAAAAAUCAACGGCAGCAUUUCUAAUCUACAACUAACAAGUAUCAUAAGAAAUCCUGAAAAUGUUAUUAAAAGAAGCCUCCUACCGUUCUCAUUCAAACAUUUCAGUAGUUUUCUCACCUUCCUCCUGAGAAUGAAGUAUUUGUUAGUGCUUACGCAGGCAUGAGAUGAGACUAUUGUCACAGACAGAUAGAUACUUCUACGCUACUGCAAAUUUGUAUAAUAAACAGCGUAUACAAACCAAUUAGCAUACUAAAUGGUGUUUAUUAUUAGUAAUUGGUUUCCAGAAUAUUGAAUUAAUUCCCUAUGAAGAGAUUACGAUGGGAUGAGACGGACAUAUACAGAUACCAAAAUGACACCACAUAAAACAUGAGUUUUGACUAUAGCUGCUGUGAUGAUGCAGUAUCAUUUUCUUCAAUGUCAUCAAAUUCCACCGGUUUCCCACGAACAAGCUUCCUGUAAAUCAAAUAAAAAAUUAGGACAUUUACACAUACAUAUUUUAAGAAUUAACGAGUUAAAAAUAUAAACAGAAUACUGCUAUUUCAAAAUAAAAACAACAAAUUCCUAAUCAGAAUGAAACAACUAAUUGAUUAAAACACAGUGAAGUAGUGGCAACAAAGACAUGCCAAACAAAUGGCUAUUCUAAUUCAAUCAUUAGGAAUGAAUUUUUAUCCUUCAACUCGAGUGAAAUUUCUAUGGUCAACAAAAAUGAACCAUUACUAAGGAAUGCAUCUAGCAUGCCCUUGAUGAAAUUGUCACUCUUCUUGUCAUGUGGUUCACAAAAAUUUUACAAGUUUAAAGAUUCUCCCUUCUUUUGGUCCUUUAACCUUUUUAACUGGUAAGCAGAUUACAAUCAAUUGUUAAGUAGAGAAACCUUUUUGAUAUAAAAUUCUCAGACAGUGCCUUAUCCAGCCUCUCUUCAAACGGGGUUGCGUGCCAUUUUACUUUCUGGUCCUGUGGACAAUUAGAUAAAGUGCAGUGAUCAGAUGGAGUAUACAGAUUUAAAAACCAUAUAACACCAAAUAAUGACUGCAAGACAUACCUCCUUGUACUUAGUUGUUGAAUUCGGGAUGCCAUUGCCAUACCACCACUUAAGAGAAAUGGGGGAAUUCUCCUCAAUGACUGAUAGAGGAGUUAAUCUAGAAGACAAAAUUGAUUUCUCCUCAUUUUCAUAUCCAUUUGAAAUUUUCUUCAACCCUUCUUCUGGGGUAGGAGUUCCAUUUUGAGAUUGGUCAACCAAAUCACUCAGCUCACUUGAAUCUUCUUCAGGGUUAGAAUCUCCGUCCUCUAGUAUUUUGCACCGGAAGAUAUUAUCACUUGGGUUGUUUGUUGGAUAGACAAACUGGCAACGAACCUGAGCCUUACCACUCUGUAACUGUUCUAAUGAUGCAGGAUACACAGUUCCUGGUGUUUGCAUCUCAUCAAAUAACUUCAACGGGGUAGGAUAAGGAGAUUGUCUAUAUGCACUUUGGUGGUUAUUUGGUGAUUUGUUUUCCUUCGUAUGCCAAUCGUCUGAUGAGCUUCCAUAGGAUGCCAAGUCAGUUUCGUUUUCAAAACGAACAGACUUGUUCUUUCUCUGAGUAUUGGCGGGUAGCAAAGGUGAAACUAAAGCUGCAUUCCUUUCGGACCUAUCUUCCCUAUGAAGAAUCCCUGCAUAACUUUUUUCUAUGCAGUCAACAGAGUCAUCCUGAGUAUCUUGUGCUUUGGAGAUGCAACUGCAAAAGAAAUGAAAUGAAACUAACAUCUGAUCAGGUUCUAGUUCUCCCUCCCACUAUUUUACACUAUCAGUGGACAAUUCUAACUUCCAACCAAAACAUCAUUUGAAAUACAACCAUUUGAAGGACAUUUCUCUUAAAAACACAACAAAUGAUCUGAUUCUUUAUUCGAUACAGUUUCUCUACCAUGAGCUCUAACUGUUAGGAAUGUUGUAUCCACCGCUUACUAUAAUAAAAAUUAAGUAAAAAACAGAAGAUUCACCUGCCAUGCAUCAAAUAUCACUUGUUCAAUUUCAAUAUCAGCAUAAGAAAAAAAUUCAAAAUCACGAAUAACCUGCUUGGCGUGUGCUCAAAUGAAUCCAUACUAUUUCCCCACUUUUGACAAAGUUUUAUGGGAGUUGGUUGAUCAAAUGGUUGGACAUCUGGUUGCAGUUUUUCCACAGACGUGUUAGGAAACCAAGUAUGAAAUCUUGAAGGGUCAUCGGGAGAUGGUGAUGUUUUCAAUUUCUCAGAUGCUUUACAAAUUUCAAUAGGAGUUCCUGUUAAGGUCCCACAAGCUUUAAGAAACUUAGCCUGUAGUUUAAGUAAUGAGACAAUCAAAAUUCAAUUGACAAGAUCGAAUGUGAGAAGAAAAAAUAAUAAACAAAUUGUAAAAGAAACUAAGUACUAUUUAAAAUUUGAUAUAUACCAUGGUUCGCAUAUACAGUUUUAGAAAUUGAAUACAAAAAAGUUAUAACAUGAAUACGCUGUAGAUGAUACAGAGAGCAAUGGAUAUGACUGACUUUUAACAAGCCAGAUUGAAAAAAUACUAAUGGUUCUAAUUGUUUCCACCAUUCUUACACAAAGAGGUUUAUAAAAUCACCUUUUGUUCUUCACAUUUUGCUUGUAUACUACAUUCAAGAAGCUUCUUAUGUCAGUUUGCAGAUUCAUUUUAUCCAGCUUGACGCGAACUCAAAAGAUAAACUAUUAAUCUUAUUUUACUCAAUGCCCUAACUUGCUCAAACAAAAAAUUAUAACAACCAAAAACAACCAGAUAAAAAAUCAUUUCAGACCAAUAUUAAUAGCACAAUAAAAAUACCUCGUCCUUAAGGUCCUGGAAAUCUCCCUGAAACCCCACCCCAUCAAUCCGUGCAGAAUCAUCUCUCUCUGCUAAAAAAUGUUAGAAGACGGAAUUAGUGAAACUACUAAAAAGAGAACAGAAAACAUAAAAGUAGAAAGAAAGAAAGAAAACGAAAAGCACCUUCAAAUAACAAAGAAGACGAACUAUUCCGAGAUAUCACAACUCCCUGAUUUAAACACAGAAAAAAUCCUAAUUAUUACAAACAAACAAAAAGUAAUUAAAAGAGAGAGAGAUGCGAAAUGUGAAAUUUUACGUUGGAACGAUUGGAUGUGGGAAUCAGUUGCGGUGUGGGCGUAGGGCGAGCGUCUCUGAUCCGGAAGCAGGCGAAGAAACAGCCCAUUACUUUGUUGAAGGAUCGGAAGAAGAAACGGAUAAUGAAGCAGAACACUCUCCUCAGCAUGUCAUGCAAAUUCUGACACCCUAAUUUCGAAUUCAGUUCAAAAUCGAAAGGGCGUGAACGGUGCGUGUUGCGCAGAGACUGCAAUUUGAAUUUUGAAGUGGCUCAAAAGCGAGGGAAAUUAAAUUAGUUAAUUAUUUAAUUAUUAGGAUAAAAAUUGUUAACUCAAUAAUCAUUUAUGAGAAUAAAUUUUUUUAUAACUGUUCUCUUAUUCUACUCUUACAUUAGACCGUUUUACCAUACUUGUACCAAUAUAUAAACAAAUAAUUGUUUUUAAUUUCUACUCUUUAAUUAUAAAACGUUUUAUAUUUGACCAGUAUAAAAUAAAUAGCUUUUACAAUUUUAUUAUAGAAGUUUUGUAUUUUAAAUAGUUAAUUGAAUUUAAAAAAUAGUUACAAAAUUGAAAUGGAAAAAUAAUAAAACAAAUUAUACUGAUAAAAGUUAAAUGGGUAAGGAAUCCAAUUUUUUUAAUAUCUUUAAAAAUUUGUUGUGUUUUAUAGAUAUUACAUUAUAAAUUUAUUAUAAUUGUAAAUUUAUUGGAAUUAAUAUAUAAGAUAAAUUUAUGUUACAAUUUUUAAAACAUAUUAAUGUACAUAUAUGUUCUAAAAAAGAAAACAUUAAUUUAAAUUAUCAUUAUUUUGUAAGUGAGAGAUAAAACAAAAAAUUAGUCUUUAGGAUAACAUUGUUAAUAAAUUUAUUUAUUAAAUUAUAACAAUAAUUGAGUAUAAAACAUAAUUUAUGUUUUAGUAGCCUUCUUACUUAUUUUUAUGUCAUUCAUAAUAUUUGAAGUUUUAAAAACUUUAUAAAAACUAAUGAAAUGUAUUUAGACAUGUACUGGUAAGCUAAAACCGAGAGGUUCAGGCCGAGAACUACAUAUUGAACAACCAAGAGGUGUUAGACUAAAAUCGAGAGGUUUAGACCGAAAGCGAAAAAGACAUACAUAAAAGAAUAAAACAAAAUAUAAAUAUUAUUAUAAAAAUAAAAGUCCAAUUAAGAUAAAACUUACAUGAGGGGUGUGAAAAUAAUAAAAAGGUGUAGAAAGAAAGCCCAAAAGUAAAGGGGAAAGCCCAUUAAAGAAACCCUAUAAAUAGGAGUUCAGAGUAAGAAAAAGGUAAGAGUGAUUUUAUCUGAUGAACAUUAAACUAUUUCUGACUUUGGCAUCGGAGCGACUUGCAGGUACCCCCCUGCCGUGAGGAGAAGCCGAGAGCACUUGCUGUGAGGAGAAGCCGAGAGCCCUUGCCGUGAGGAGAAGCCGAGAGCACUUGUUGUGAGGAGAAGCCGAGAGCCCUUGCCGUAAGGAGAAGCCGAGAACAUCUGUCGUGAAGAGAAACCGAGUGUCCAGCCCAAGAUUGAAGGAUUUGCAUAAAGAAUUAAUCUUGUUAAUCCAUUUCGAGUGUUCUUGGUCCCUGUUGUAAGAACAUUUUGGCGGUCACCGUGGGGCCGAGAAGUAGUUGAAAAGGGUUAAAGACAAGAUGGACCAAAUAGAAGAACAAGGUGGAGAACAGGAAGACAAUGUUAACAUGCCAAUGGCAAUGUUGGUACAACUACAAAAAGAAUUCGAGAUGUUAAAAAAGAAUAAUGAAGAAGAACUAAGCAUGUUGAGAGCCGAAAAUGCACAUAUGAGGAGAAAACUGCAGGAAGAGACAGUUCUGAAUUCGUCCUUUGAAACUGUUCAACCUAAAGCACAAAUGAAUGAAAGACUUCAUCACAACGAAAGUUCCCAAACCAAAAGAAGAUUGCUUGAUACCUCUGGGGUUUUUUCAGGAGCAUCCUCCAUAAAGCAUCCGUUUUAUGAUGUUAUAGUUGAUACUCCAUUACCUGACAAUUGGAAAAAUUUGACAAUUGGAAAAAUUUGACAAUUGACAAAUACGAUGGAAGUACAGACCCUGAUGAACACAUUGCAAUAUAUACCACUCAGAUAAGCUUGUAUACGUGGAAUGAUGCUAUUAUGUGUAGAGUGUUCCCUACGACGCUGAAAGGAGCAGCUUUGAGUUGGUUCACGCGCCUCCCACCUUUGAGCAUUGAUUGUUUCGAUACACUGGUAGGAAAGUUCGGUGCUCAAUUUGCAACCAGUCGCCCUCAUCAUUUAACAUCAAUUGCUUUGGUGAACAUAAGACAAGAGAAAUGAGAGUCAUUAAGAAUGUUCAUGGAACGCUUUGGAAAGGUUGCCUUAGGUAUUCGAGAUCUUAGCCCAGAGGUUACCAUGCAUCAUAUGAUAAUAGCAUUGAAGCUGGGACCAUUCGCCGAUAGCCUCUGCAAAAAACCUGCAACCAAUUUGGAUGAACUAAGGCAGCGAGCCUCAAAAUUUAUGCAGAUGGAAGAACUGAGAGAGUUCCGAAACCAAGUGAGGGUUGAUGGAGGUGAGAAGAGGGUGAUGGAAAGAGAAAGCGGACCUAUGGUCAGAAGAGCCCGAGAAGAGUUCAGAAGUCGAAAAUUCCAACAAUAUACACCUUUGAAUACAAAUAGAGCAAGAAUUUUGCAAGAAGCCAUGGCAGCAGAAAUAAUACCACCACCAAGAAAAGCAAGAACACCAGAAAGGGUAGAUCAUACCAAGCGGUGUGAGUAUCAUAAAAAUCAUGGCCAUCAUACAGAAGAGUGCAUCGGGUUGAAAGAUAGAAUAGAAGAAUUGAUCCAAGCGGGACAGUUGAAACGCUUCAUUCAAGGAGGAAAUACGAAAACAAGAUUAAGUCCUGAAAAAGUGUUGAAAGGGAGAGAGGUAGGACAAAGAAGAGUGGAAGGAUUUGAAAGAAGAGAAGAUAGAAGAGUUGAAAAAAGAGAUGAUAGGAGGGAGGGAAGGCCAGAACGAAGAUGUGAUAGGUUUUAUCAAAACACCCAGUCGGUUAGGCGAAGUAGGGAACGAAGUCUGGGAAGGCCGGUCAGAGGAUUUAUAAAUACAAUUUCAGGUGGUUUCUCUGGCAAAGAAUCUUCAUCGGGAAGAAAACAACAUUGGAGAAGUAUCAGAACCAUUAAUCACAUUUUUAAAAAAAGAACUUUGCCACCGAUGCUUUUCACAGAUGAAGACUUUCAAGAAAUCGAUCCCGAUCAUGAUGAUCCUAUGGUGAUAACAGUAGAAAUAGCCGAGUAUGCUGUCAUGAAAACCUUGGUUGAUCAGGGGAGCUCAGUUGAUUUUUGUUUUGGGAUACUUUCAAAAGGUUGCACUUGAGAGAAGAAAAUAUUGUACCUUUCCGAGAACAAAUUAUUGGCUUCUCGGGUGAAAGAGUUAGCACUAAAGGAUAUGUUGAUUUAAUGACAACAUUCGGCAGAGGCAGUAAAACUAAAAAGAUCAAAAUCAGGUACUUGGUGGUGGACGCUUCCACAUCAUACAAUGUGUUGCUAGGGCGAUCUUCUUUGAAUAAGUUGGGAGCAAUAGUUUCAACACCGCAUUUAGCCAUGAAAUUCCCAACAGAGAAGGGGGAGAUAGCCACGAUAUAUGUCAAUCAAAAAGAUACUCGGGAAUGUUACGCAACAGGCUUAAAGAUGAAUUUGAAAACAAAUAGAGAUACUGAAAGAAUGGUGGCGAUGGCAGAUUUGGACCCCAGGUUAAAUGAUGAGAGGUUAGAACCAAAAGAAGAGACAACAGUUGUAGUAUUGGGACGGGACGAGAAGCAAUGCACUUACAUAAGUGGAAGUUUGCCCAAAGAAUUGUUAAACAAACUUAUCACAUUGUUACGCAACAACAAAGACUUGUUUGCUUGGAAACCAUCUUAUAUACCUGGAAUCGAUCCAGAGGUAAUUUGUCACAAAUUGUCGGUAUGUCGAGAAGCGAAACCGAUAUCUCAAAAACGAAGAAAGUUGGGUGAAGAAAGACGAAAAGCAGCAAUUGAAGAAACCGAGAAGUUAAUGCAAGUUGGUUUCAUUAAGGAAGCUCAGUACACAACAUGGUUAUCCAAUGUGGUGCUAGUCAAAAAACCGAAUGGAAAAUGGAGAAUGUGUACCGAUUAUACAGACUUGAAUAAAGCUUGUUCGAAAGAUACAUAUCCAUUAUCCAACAUAGACCGAUUGGUAGAAGGGGCGUCUGGACAAGAAAUGAUGAGCUUUCUCGAUGCCUAUUCAGGGUAUGACCAAAUACAAAUGUAUGAGCCGGAUGUUCCAAAAACAGCUUUUACCACAGAUACUGCCAAUUAUUGUUAUAAAGUCAUGCUUUUCGGCUUGAAGAAUGUUGGAGCAAUAUAUCAAAGACUCAUGGAUAAAGUGUUCAAAAAUCAAAUUGGGAAAAACAUGGAAGUAUAUGUGGAUGAUAUGGUUGUGAAAUCGGAGGAGGUAGAGAAACAUUUGGGAGACCUUGAGGAGGUGUUUGCACGCAUAAGAGAAUGCAAUAUUCGUCUUAAUCCGGAAAAAUGUGUUUUUGGUGUGAAAGGUGGAAAAUUUUUAGGCUUCAUGUUAACCAACAGAGGUAUCGAGGCAAAUCCUGAUAAAUGUGAGGCAAUAAUGAAAAUGGGAAGUCCAAAGAAUUUGAAGGAGGUACAAAGACUGGUGGGGAAGCUGAACUCAUUGUCAAGAUUUCUACCAAUAUUAGCCGAGAGAACCAAGCCGAUAGUUAACUUGUUGAAAAAAUCUGAAACCUUUGAGUGGAAUGACCGAUGUGAGCAAGCCUUUACUCAGAUCAAAAGCAUAAUAGCCGAACCACCAAUCUUAGUUAAACCUGUGUCAACCCAACCUAUCAUAGUUUACCUAGCAACUUCAAAUGAGGCCAUAGGAGCAGCUUUAAUACAAGAAAACCCAUAGCAGAAACCGAUAUAUUUUGUAAGUAGAUCCCUUCAAAACGCCGAAACCAGAUAUCCCAAGGUUGAAAAAGUCGCCUUAACAUUAGUGUAUGCUGCAAGACGCCUUCGGCCAUAUGUUCAGAAUCAUCUGAUAAUUGUGAGAACAGAUUAUCCAAUAUCUAAAAUUUUGAGAAAACCAGAACUUGUAGGUCGAAUGGUGACGUGGUCGAUGGAGCUUUCAGAAUACGGAAUCAAGUAUGAACCAAGAGGACCGAUCAAAGCCCAAUCACUUGCAGAUUUCAUUAUUCAGAUGCCGACAGCAACACAACCGGAGCAAUGGACAUUAUAUGUAGACGGUGCGUCAAGCAAAAGAGGAAGCGGAACAGGGAUUGUGCUUGAAGGACCAUAUAACUUCCAAGUAGAAAUAGCGUUAAGGUUUGAGUUCAGAACAUCCAACAACCAAGCCGAAUAUGAAGCUCUUGUUGCAGGAUUACUAUUGGCCAGAGACAUGGGAGUCGAGAAUGUCAUUUGCAAAAGUGACUCUCAACUUUCGGUGGGACAGGUGCAAGGGGAGUAUCAGGUAAAAGAUCCAUUAUUAAUGAAAUAUUACCAUAAAGUGUUAAAUAUUAUGCAAUGCUUUAAUAAGGCUGAAAUGAAAUAUAUUCCGAGAGAAUUAAACAUGAAGGCAGAUUCAUUAUCCAAAUUAGCAAGCCAACAGAGACAAGGGCAACAUAAUUCAGUCAUACAGCAAACCCUUAGNNNNNNNNNNNNNNNNNNNNNNNNNNNNNNNNNNNNNNNNNNNNNNNNNNNNNNNNNNNNNNNNNNNNNNNNNNNNNNNNNNNNNNNNNNNNNNNNNNNNNNNNNNNNNNNNNNNNNNNNNNNNNNNNNNNNNNNNNNNNNNGUGUUAAUCGGUGAUGAACUUUACAAAAGAGGAUAUUUUAUGCCUUUGUUAAAAUGUCUGUCAAGAGAACAAGCCGAAUAUGUAAUUAAAGAACUUCAUGAAGGAAUUUGUGGACUACACUGUGGAGCUCGAACAAUGGCAACAAAGGUCUGUAGAGCUGGUUACUAUUGGCCGACAAUCAGAGAAGAUUGUGAACUUUAUGUUAAAGCAUGUAAAAAAUGUCAAGAGUUUGGAAGUUUAAACCACAUACCGGCACAAGAGUUGCAAGGAAUUGUUUCCCCUUGGCCAUUUGCAAAAUGGGGAAUUGAUAUACUUGGCCCGUUCCCACUUGGACGAGGACAAACCAAGUUCAUGAUAGUAGUUGUGGACUACUUCACAAAAUGGAUAGAAGCAGAAGCGUUAACUAAGAUAACAGCUCAACAAGUUCAAACGUUUGUAUGGAAAAAUAUAAUAUGCCGAUUUGAAAUCCCACACACCAUUAUAACUGACAAUGGCCGACAAUUCAUUGACAAAAAACUUAUGGAAUUUUAUGUAGAUUUGGGAAUCAAGUCAACAAAUACUUCAGUUGAACAUCCGCAAACAAAUGGACAAGUUGAAGCUGCAAACAAAGUUAUUCUCGGACACUUAAAGAAGAGGUUAGGAAGCGCUAAAGGUUUAUGGGCAGAGAAGUUACCAGAGAUAUUAUGGGCAUAUAGGUGUACACCUCAAACGUCAACUGGAGAAACACCAUUCAACCUCACGUAUGGAACAAAUGCAAUGUUACCAGUAGAAGUUAUUGAACCAACAUUACGAAGGCAAAUGGAAGAUUG
rnacentral:lncRNA from 1 species